GCUGGGCUGAGAGAAGCCGGA
rnacentral:miRNA from 1 species